UACAGAGGUCCCGAGCGUUGUUCGGAUUCACUGGGCGUAAAGGGUGCGUAGGUGGUGAGGUAAGUCGGAUGUGAAAGCUCCAAGCUCAACUUGGAAAUGGCAUUGGAAACUACCUUGCUAGAGGGUUUGAGGGGGGACUGGAAUACUUGGUGUAGCAGUGAAAUGCGUAGAUAUCAAGUGGAACACCAGUGGCGAAGGCGAGUCCCUGGACGAUACCUGACACUGAGGCACGAAAGCUAGGGGAGCAAACAGG
rnacentral:rRNA from 1 species